rnacentral:lncRNA from 1 species
UCAGACUUGGGGGAAAUUGGUAUUCAGACAGGACCAUCCGUGAGGGCUUGCUCUCAUUCACCAGCUUCAAGCAUUCAAGUUUGUGGAGUUCGCAAAGGCUUUUGGAAACCCCAGAUUGAUAGUAACUCAAAUCUCCAGAUAUCCGAAGAGUCUGAACACUAGGUAGUCUGCCCAAUAUAUCAGGAGUACAACUACUAGGGUUUAAAGCUGAUAUGAAAAUGAGAUUUUUCAGAGAGCUAGAAUAAUUUUUUGGAGGUGCGGGCAGAGUGAUAGAACCAAAGUUUAGAUGCAUGAGUUUUUGCAUCAUCCAAAUAUCCUCUGGUGACUGAUCUAUGUAGCUAGAUGGCAUUUCUAGUGUUUCAAGGUUUAAAAGGGUGCAUAGCAGUGAAGGAAGGCAUUUGAGCGAAGGGAUAUUCAAUUUCAAAUACUUCAAAAGAUAUAAAUUUUCUAAUCCGGGUGGAUAUUGGUCCAGGACUGCAGAACCCAUGUUCAAUACCCGAAGGUGUUUGAACUUUUUACAAAAAUUCUCGCAAUCUAUCAGAGCGAGAUGAUCGCUUGCCGAACUGUGAUUCAGAAAAGAUUGGAGAUACAUGUCAGAAUGUUCUAAAGAUAAAAACCCAGUCAGAUCUUCGGCAAUGACGCACCGUUUAACAUUUGCCACUCGCUCCUCUUCCCUGUCAUGCACCAAGACAAAUCCGGCCUUCUCUGCCACAAAAUACAAUGAAGUAUAUACAAAACUUGGAACAUAACACGCUUUAAUUGUGGCUCCGGCGCUUCUCUUACUCACUUGAAUGAAGCCGCGAUGGAUUAGUUCUUUCAAGUAAUGUUCGGCAGUUUCUUCACCGUUGUAUGGUAUGAAACCUUCAGCUACCCACAACUGAUAUAAUUGCUCCGUAGAUAUCUCAAUACUUGGAAGGAAGACACACAAAUAGAUGAAGCAGACUUUCAAGUAAAAAGGUAACUCCAUCACAGAAAAAAUUUGUCUCCAAACUGUCGGAAUCGCUUCGCCUUGAAGAUAAUUUUCUAAUGGCAUACUUCCAUAGUGUAGGAUGAAAAAUUGCCACGCUUCAUGCUUUAAUCUGAUCAAUGGUCCUCCAAAGAGCACUGAAUCACGCCGAAUCUUCUCUCCGUUUUCCAUUUCCAACGACGCAAGGAGCUGUGGAUCACUGACCAACAUCAAUACUCUGCUUCCAUUCUGAUUAUCAGGAAGAACUUCUUCAAGAUCACUCCAUAUCUCACUGUCAUCGAAGACAUCAUCAAGCACAAUAAAGUACUUCCUGUUUGUUAGGUAAUCUCGAAGAAUAGAUUUCUUCAAUUGAUAAUCUUCCCCGAUAAUUACACUAACCCGAGAUGGAGGCAUCACCGACUUGAUUAUGUCAUCCAAUAUCUUGCCAAAAACGUAGGUUAUAGAAACCCUGACCCAAGCAAGACAGUCAAAAUAGAACUUGACGUGGUUAUUAUUGUAAGUAUCUGCAGCAAAAACAGUCUUGUCGAAGCCACUGCUGUCGAGAAUUGCAACCACUGCAAGCCCAGAUGGUCCCUCAAUCAAUAGAUCAAACAACUCCUCCCUGCCCCUUUCAAAUUCAUUGAUAUCAAGCCGAGGUUGUCCCUCACUCAAUAGGCGAAUGAUUUCGUUACUUUUUUCACUGAUAUCAAAACCAUUGUCGCCGGGUGGAAGUUGUUGCAUCCGAUUUCUAAUAUCAAUGAUUUUAGUGUGGAGUCCAACAAGAAGAGCCAUAAUGAUGUUGAUGAUUUCGUUACUUUCACUUUCGUUUUCACUGUUUUGCUGCUGCAUGAUGUUGAUGAAGAAUGUGUCAAUGACUUCCUCAGAGUCACGGACAAAGUUAUUGAUGUCCUUCAGAAUUUCAAAAAUAUCUGCUGUUUCAACGUCUUCUUCAUCGCUUUCUUCUAAGUCCAACAGUUGCAAAAAAGGCAAAGAUAUUUUGGAGUCAUCGAAUUCUUCUCUAAUGAGUUGAAACAAAUGCCGAGCCAUGUCAGCUUCAUAAUUUCCCAGCAGAGUAGUAGCAAUAAUUUCGGACUCCGUAAGAAGGUUUUGAAAAAGUGGAGUUAAAUUUGUUGAAUCUGGCAGCGGCAACGUGCCUUCUUCACCUGCUAACACCCUUUUCAACCUCUCACAAAACAGUCGGAGGUGGAAUUCCAGCAUAUCUCCUUCUCUCUGUAGCAGCCAGAGGUAUUGUUUUUUGCUCCAAGAAAUAUUAAAAGGAUUGGUUCUAUCCUCAAGUGGUUACUGGUGUAAAAUUAAACGCCAUGGGAGAAUUUGAAAGGAAGAUGCCAAGGAACUGGCGAAGUGGCUAAAUUCCACAAAUACGGCAUUAUUGCUCAUUUUUAACUCAAAAAAUUGAUACGCGUUCAUUUAGAGAAAAGUCCAAGACGCGUGCUUUUUGAAAAGAACAGGUAUCCCAAUCGGUAUCCAACCUUUAUCUUAUUUAAUUACUACCAUGACAUAAUUGAUGGUGCUUAAAUCAAUUGUUUCUUUUUUAAUUUAAAGAAUUUUUCAUUAAAAAAUAUUUUAAUAUCAAAUUGCCUUCAGUGGCGUAACAACUGCCUCAAGCCCAGUAACAGGACUAAUUAAAAAUUUUACAAUUUUGGGGCAUGGAAAUAGUAGUAUUAAACAUUAGAAAGGUGAGGUUGUUCUGUUAAAGAAUUGAUAUUGACAUAAUUUUAUUUUGGUUUUCGUGGAAAAAAAAAAUUUGUUGACAAACAAGAAAAUAUUUUUAUAUUUUAAAAUUUAUUAUGCAUAUUUUAUCAUAUUAAAGUAGUUUUAAUAGUAAAUAGAAACAUAAUAUUACGAUAAAUAAAUUAAAAUUUAACUUAUUUUGAAUAUUAUAAAAAAUAAUUUUAAUAUUAUUAAUAGGAAGACAUUGUAUUAAUUUAAAAAUUUUUUAACCCAAAGGUUUAUUUAAAAUCUUUAUUAUAAAUACAAAUAUAAAAUUAAAUAUCAUAAUUUAAAAUUUUUAAUAUUAUUUUAAGUAUGAAAAAUAUUUUAAUAUUAUUAGUCUAGAUCAUAUUACUUAUAUAAUAUUUGUAUUAUUAAAAAUGCUUUAAAAAAGACCUUGUUGUUACUUUUUAAAAAAUUGAGGGCCUGCUUGAUAAUUUUUUCAAAAAGAAAAUGCUUGGUAUAUAGGAGGGGUAGAGAAACAGGACUCCCAAAAUCUCUCACCCUUUUGUAAUUUAAAAAGAAUUAAAAUAUCAAUAAAAAAUAAUAAAGAAAAUAGAAUUUUAUCUGCUCCUUACUCCAUUUUUGCAACUCUCUCACCAUCUCUGUCGAGCAGCCCUCUCUCUCAUUGUCUCUCACUAUUUCAGGAUCUCUCUCUCACUCACACAAUCCUUUCCACGAUUUGAAAUUCUUUGGCCUUCUGCAACUCUUACAAGAAAUUAACGCUUUGGUUCUCCCAAGGGUAGAUUGGUUUUAUUGGGAAGCUAUUAAUUAGAAGGAGGAAAAAGGACUAUAUUUAGAAUAUGAUUUGUUGGAGAAUCUCAAAGUUAAUCAAUUUUCAAGCCACACUUUCAAUAGCCAAUUGAUUUAGUAACCAUUAAUUACUUUAAUUUCCAUAAAUUGUAAUGACAGUGCAAAUGCAUCUGGUUGUGAUAGCUAAGGGUUAGCUUGAAGAAUUAAAUUUCAUAAGAUAUUACUGGAAAAUGCUUUGCAGCUAACGUGCUGCUUCCUUUGCUAGACUACAAUUUCAAAAUUCUCACGAGUUUUCCAUUGUUGUCACAAACCGAGAAAUUAUAAAAUACAUGGCCUGGUUCUUUGGCAAUGACCAUCUCAUCGUCGGCGGUCGUGUCGUCAUUGUCACUGGUCUUGCUCGACCGAGACAGUGAGAGAGAGGUUUGUUAGAUGGAGUUAGUGAGAGAGAGUUGUAAAGAUGGAAUGAUGAUAAAGGAUUCUAUUUUUUUUAUUGUUUUUUAUUAAUAUUUCAACAGGUCUUAGUAUAUAUAUAUAUGAUUGUAAAUAUCAGUUAUACUCAUGUAAUAUGAGUUGUAAUUUGAGCAAUAGUCUCAUGUUAUCAAAAAAAAAAAAUCAAAAAGCAAAGGUUGUUAUGUCGAAGAAUUGAUGUCAACAAAAUUUUAUUUUAGUUUUCGGAAAAAACAAAACAAAAAUAAAAUUUUUGUUGACAAGCAAGAAAAUGUUUUUUAUACUUUACAAUCUGCUAUACAUAUUUUAUCAUAUUAAAGUAAUUUUAAUAAUAUAUGGAAACAUAAUAUUAUAAUAAAUAAAUUAAAAUUACUUUGAAUUAUUGAAUAUUACAAAAAGAUAAUUUUAAUAUUAUUAAUAGGAAAACAUAUUUUAUUUGUAAAAUCUUUUUAAUACACAAAUUCAUUUAAAAUCUUUAUAAUAAAUACAAAUAUAAAUUAAAAAAUAUCAUAAUUUAAAUUUUUUAAUAGUAUUUAAAUAUUAAAAAUACUUUAAUAUUAUUAAUCUACUACAUCAAAUAUAUUAUUUAUAUUAUAUUCGUAUUGAUUAAAACGUUUUAAAGUCAAAUUUUUAAUUAGUGUAUUCAAAGGUACAAAAGAUUUUAGUAUUAUUUUUUAAAAAUUUCAGGAUAUGAAUGAUAAUUUUUUCAAAUUUUAAAGAUGUAAAAAUCUUUUUUUCUGAUAAUUUAUUUCACUUUUGAGAGAAUCCGAAAACGUUAAUUUAACAUUCUUUACCUUUGUGAAAAAAGUGAAAAUCAAGAACUAUUCAAUUUUGUUUUUAUUUGUAAUUCAAAAACUUUAUUCAUUUUCGAUGCUUUUCAAAAGAGAUUCCUUUAAAUCCUUUUGAUGUCUGCAGCUCCUGCUAUUCUCAUAAAUCUCCAUCCCACAUCUACACUAUCAAACUAGUUGAUGGAAAUUCUUAUAAAAAAAAAAAAAAAGUCGAUGGAAAUUGAUCAAUUGCUUUUUGAAAUGGACCCAUUGAGUCAUGUUCAUUUCUGGUCAUAUAAAUUUCUUUACCUUACAGUUUAUACGGUCUUGCUGUUAAUGAAUUCGCUGAGGCAUUAUUGAUCCAAUCUGAGUGAAGUAAUUGUGGGUGAAAAAUAAAUAAAGGAUAGCAGAACGUAGCUGAAGUGCUGAAGGGGCUAUUAAAGAAGAGUGUCACUCGAUCACAAUCACAUUGAUGCACAACUCACUCGUGGCAAAUUCCGACUAUACGUACUGCAAAUUCAGCCAAACCAUACAUGCAUGAACAAAACAUCUUCUCUAAACUAAAAAGCCCACAUCUCUAAAAUCAAUCUACAUAAUGUUGGAGAUGAGGGGUGAAUUGUUAACUCAGUAAAAAAAAAAAAACUCAUGCAUAAGAUUACUAAUAAUAUAAAUUAUAUAUUAAUCAUUAUGAAGAAUCAUAAAUUAGAAAAAUUAAUCAUUUUAUAAUUUAUUACACAAGUAAGAUAAAUCUUAUAAUAAGUUAUAACAUAAAAAAACGUUAUCAAUAAAUAAUCAUUUAAGAAGUCAUUUAACAAUAAAAUCGUUCUUUGAUCAGUUGGUCAUGUCACAUAGUAUCAUCUAUAUUUAUGGUGAUAAUAUUAUUACUUGGUAUUAUCAAAAAACAUGAUUUAACAUUUUAGAGGAAAUUCUUGCCUUUUAAAAAAAACAUGUAUGCAACAGCUACCCAUGCUUGAUCUUACAAAUGAACAAAUAAUUUUUCUCAAUGAAAAGAAUUUUUUUUUUAAAUUGAUUUAAUUGCACCAAUUAUGAUGAUUUUUUGCCAAAAAAUUAUUUUUUGGAAAACAUAGUGAGAGAAAAUUAGUGACGAUUAUUUGUUUAGAUUGUAUAAAUAGCUCAAACAUAAUCCCUUAAUAACCNNNNNNNNNNNNNNNNNNNNNNNNNNNNNNNNNNNNNNNNNNNNNNNNNNNNNNNNNNNNNNNNNNNNNNNNNNNNNNNNNNNNNNNNNNNNNNNNNNNNAGGGAGAUCGUCGGGGACAAUCUGAACGGCCGACGCCGAUGAAAUGGAAGGGUUUACCAGAGGAGUGGAUGCGAAGAGUGCAGGGACGGCCGCAGAGAGAGAGCGGCGGAGAGCGGCGACGGACGGUAGUCGGUAUGGGCCAUUGCUUGCGCGUCGGUAAUUGUCUCGAGUGAGAGAGUGAAGGGUUUUGUUUAGGGUUUUGGGAAAUGAAAAAUGCAAAUGUUUGAUUUUGUUGCUAGAAACUUCUUCUGCCGCUGCCUUUUAUUUUCGCUAUAAUAAUAUUAAUAAUUUGUUAAUAAAAUAUUUUCUUAAAAAAGAUAAAUUUCUACGACAAAAUUUAUAUUAAAUCAAAUUGUAAAAAUGUCUAUUAGGGUUAAUUUCUCCUUAAUAUUAUUAUUAGUAGAAGUAGAUUUUCGAAUUAGUCUUGAUAUAUUUCAGAGUUGUAUUAUAAAUGUAUAUGUAUCUGGAUUGCAAUUGUAUUUUUAAAAAAUAUAAUUUUUUUAAUUAUUGCACAAUAAAUGUAGAAAGUGUCUAUAAAAUAAUAUUAUUAGAACUAUGAAAAGAUAUUAUUUUAGAGUAGUUAUUUAUUUAUUUUUGAAUAAAUAAUUUAUUAAUUUAUUGAUAAAUUAAUAUUUAUUAAUUUAAAGAGAGAUUUUUUUUUUGUGGGUUUUAAGAAGAGUUUUGUUGGUAUAUGUAUAAACUUAUAAAGAAAUACAAAAAAUGCUUCCUCAAGUCAAUAAUAUUUACUUUAAUUCAUAAUAAUAUAGUUUAAUCAAGAAACUUGUAAUUAUACUAUAUCUUUCUUUCUUUGUUCAGUUUGGUGGGACAUUGUGAUAAAUCAUUGGAUUAAAAUGCAUUUGUAAAUGAAAACUUGUUAAAACCUAAUUUAUUUGGGAAAAACAUAUUAUUUACUCUUUUUUUUUCCCGCUCUCUGACAAUUGAGGUAUGGGUCAAGCUUGAAAGUAUCUUAAAAUCAGACAACAAUUUAACGAUUUUUUGUUUUUAGAUAACUGCUGGUAUGCUCUACAAUGAUAAGUGAUAACCUAGGUGUUUGCAUUAAUUAUGAUUCAACAAUUUAAAAAAUGAAAACAUAUGGAAGACGGCCGCAAUUAAAUUUAUUGUAUGAAAAUAUUUCAAUGAAAUUUUAAAAAUUUAGUACUUGUUAUCUUAUCGAGAGUUUUUAAUUAUAUUACUACUUGAACUUGACUGCUUUUGUAUUGAAUUCCUAGCGUUGCCAUUGCUUCUACUCAAAAGCCAUUUAAGUUUGUGUAAGCUACCUGUAGUUUGAACAACAAUUUUCUAGAUGAAUUUUUUCCUACAUGCUUGUUCUCGUAUGACCCAAAAUCCUGCUACAUCAGUUGUAUUAGAAAUUAAUCAACUGGGUUACAAUUAUGCAUCCCCACCAAUAUUCAAGCAAUCUACAGAAACAUUUCUUGAGGAAAGAAACUCAUAUCGCCACUAGGCUUUUAAUGAGGCUCAUUUUUAUGAAUCUGGAUGGCAUUAGAUAUCUCUCCGAAUAUUGGUGGGAGUAUAUCGCUGAUCUCUGGGCUAUACUACAAAGUGUAUGUACGUUGACUCUCAAUAAAUACAAACGAUUCUCUGAUCUGAUUCAAAACAUCAGUACAUGCAUCAUUUUAAUGAGAAAGAAUAUUCUAAGAACGAAAUUGAAGGUGCAAUCAGCAGCUAAAAUGAAGCCAGAAAUGUACACGCAUGAGGAACUUUUCCUAGAAGAUUGAUAUUUCUUUAACUAGCAAACCAUAUAAGUCCAAAGCUAACCAAACCAUACCUGCAAGUCCGGGGCUUAAAUGGAGUACUUGUAAGCAUAAAACAUUAAUCAAAACACAGUAUAGACACACACACACACCCCUACAUACAUACCAGCAAAUUCGGAAUAGAAAAAGGAGUGCAACUAUUCAAGUUUGCAGACAAUAUUGCAACCAUGGCAUAUUAAAGCAAAUCCUUGAAAUCAGCUAAACAAAACAAUGCCCUGUCUCAUGAAUCGAUGCUCAAUUAAAAUUGCAAUUGAAAGUCCGGCUGGUGUUGUUUCCCUCCCCAGUUUUGCCUACAUAAGUAAACGGAAAUAAGAAUCAUAAAUGAAAAUCUACUUUGACAGUUCUUAUUAGAUAGAUAUAAAAAGAUCUUUCUUUGUUUCUCUGCUGUAAUUUGUAGACAUGUUCCUAUUGUGCAUAAUUUACAUUAUAGGCAAAUAUUCUUAUACCAUCAUAGGCAAAACAUGACACUAACAAUUGAAGGUUUUAUGACCUCCUUGAAGGUUUUACGAUAAACAUAAAUCUACUGAGAAAGUGGGAAAAAAAAGAAAAUGCAUAUAAAAAUAUGAGUUAUCAGAUAAGAUUGAAACUCACCCAAUUCAAUCCAUCAGAUUCCGCAAGGAUAUAACUGGAUGUCAUACCGCCACUCCAUAUCCUCGAAAGUCCGUAGUCCUUGUCUCAACUGUGUCUGGGGCCAGUGUAAGUCCAAUUUGCGCAAGCUCUUUAUGCACCACAGCUCUUCUGGAAGCUUUCUCAAGUAAGCACAUGGGUUGACAAUUAAGCUUUCAAGUUUCGGCAUUGCUCCAGCCCCCAUCGUCCACUCAUCUAGCCAAUACAUUGAUUUCAGGUGCAAAACCUUAAGUUCGGGAAAGCUACUCAAGCCAACACAAGCAAGCUUUCUUCCUAAAUACGAGUUCUGCUUCAGUUUCAGCACUCGAAGGAGUGGAAGAUUUUCCAGAAUUGGCAUGGGAUCCUGUUGUGAAUUUGGCUUUGUUACGACUAACCAAAUUCUCCCCAAGACACUAAUUUUGUAUCAAAUGGUUUGAGAAUUAACAGCACAGAUUAUGCAGUAACAAAUCACACGCAAGAACCAAAGCAUUAAAGAAACAAAGUGACACCAAGUAUAAGUGGUUCAGCACCAAGAUGUGGUGCCUACAUCCACUGGAAACAAAGCAACAGUCUUUCACUAUUUAGUUCACAAAACAAUACAAUAAUAGGAAUUUAUUUACAGAGAACAAGAACUUGUAAACCCCUUUCUCUCUCUAUCUUCUCUCUACUCUCUGUGUUUCCCAAUUCAUGUGUAGACGAUGACAGAGCCUGCACUUUUAACCUCUGUUUCUGGGUUGUUACAUUAACUACCCUUCCCGCCAAAACUAACCAAGAAGCUCCUCUCUCACGUGCUUGUCACAAGUUGGCAUAAGUGAGCUUGAAACGGCAAUCACAGAUGUCGUUCUUGAGCUAACGAGAUUUCAGCUUCACUACACGUGCAAACCACGUGUAUUACUUAAAGGUUGAAUGACCAAAGAGAGGAUGUCGGUUUUACUCUGAAGAACUCCUCAAGCGACAAGUCGGCUGAGACUAACUCCUCUAAACGACUUGUAGCACUUGAGUUUCGAGUUCACUGUUUAUCAAUCUCCACCUUGAACUCAGAACUCUAGCUACUCAUGUUUACUUCAUUCUCUUCCAUUUGCAGCUAAUCAGAAGCUGCAAAUCCCUACUAAGCUCAAACAGAAGUUGAGCUUGGCAGAUGGCAUAGCUUUAGUCAACAUAUCAGCUGGAUUUUGAUCAGUGUGAACCUUGAGCAUCUUCACAAUUCCCUUGGAAACUUCAAGUCUAACAAAAUGCAGCUUUACAUCGAUAUGUUUUGUUCUUUCGUGAUGGGUCUGGUUUUUACUCAAAUGUAUUGCACUCUGGCUAUCACAAUAUACUUCAACUGUUUCUUGUUUUGCUCCUAACUCAGAGACCAUUCCUUUUAACCAGAUGGCUUCCUUAAAAGCUUCUGCAGCUGCUGUAUAUUCGGCUUCAGUUGUGGACAAAGCUACCACACUUUGCAGUGUAGCUUUCCAAUUCACAGUGCAGCCUCCCAAAGUGAAUAUAAAACCUGUCUGAGACCUCAUUUUAUCAAGAUCUCCAGCGAAAUCUGAGUCAACAUACCCCACCAGCUUGUGCCCUUCCUGUUUUAACCCUCCAUAUAGCAGACCAAACUCCAUAGUGCCUUUCAGGUACCUCAUUAUCCAUUGGACUGCCCUCCAAUGUUCAUAACCUGGAUUUGCCAUGAAUCUACUCACUACACUCACAACAUGUGAGAUAUCAGGUCUAGUGAGAACCAUGGCAUACAUUAGAUUCCCAACUGCACUGGAGUAAGGUAUCCUUGCCAUUUUUCCUUGCUCUGCAUCAGUUUGUGGACACUGUGCAGCAGACAGCUUGAAGUGAUUUGCCAAAGGUGUUUGAACAGACUUAGAUUCAUGCAUCCCAAACCUAAGUAACACCUUUUUAACAUAGCCCUGUUGGGUUAGAAACAUAAGCUUCCUUCUCCUGUCUCUGAUAAUUUCCAUACCUAAGAUCUUCCUUGCAGCUCCAAGAUCUUUCAUAUCGAAUUCACUGCUCAAGAGGUCCUUUAAAUGACUGAUUUCAUUUAUGCUGUGACAUGCUAUAAGCAUGUCAUCCACAUACAGCAUAAGAUAAAUCAUCUUUCCAUCACCAAUGUCCUUAAAGUACACGCAACAAUCAUAAUUGCUUCUCUUAUAGGCAUGUUUUGUCAUGAAACUAUCAAACUUCAAGUACCAUUGCCUAGGAGACUGCUUUAAUCCAUAUAAAGAUUUCUUUAGUAAGCACACAUGAUCUUCCUUGCCAGACACCACAUACCCCUCAGGCUGCUCCAUUACAAUUUCUUCUUGUAAUUCACCAUGCAGAAAGGUUGUUUUAACAUCCAUCUGCUCUAGGUACAAGUCUUGAAUGGCAACUAAAGCUAAGAUGACUCUGAUGGAGGCAUGUUUCACAACUGGAGAGAAGAUUUCAUUGAAAUCAAUCCCCUCUCUUUGUGUGAAACCUCUUGCUACCAGCCUAGCCUUAAACCUACUAGGUUCAGCAUCAAAUAUCCCUUCCUUAAUUUUGAAGAUCCAUUUGCAGCUAACAGUCUUCCUUUUCUCUGGUCUAACUAUCAGUUUCCAAGUUCCAUUUUUCAUUAGUGAUUCAAUUUCCUCAUCCAUAGCCUUCUUCCAUUUCAGCUUAUCCCUGUUGUUUAUAGCUUCUUUAUAGGUUCUUGGCUCUUCUUCAUUUAUCUCUUGUGCAGCUGUUAAUGCAUAAGCUAUCAAAUAUGCUACUGCAUACCUCUUAGGUGGUCUUACAGCUCUCCUCUUUCUAUCCCUGACCAACUGAUAAGAGUUAUUUUCAUUCUCAGCUGGCUCUGACUCCUGAACACCAUCAGAUCCAUCAGCAACCCUUCCUGCAUCUUCUUCAGAUUCUGAUUCAGUCAUAUCUUGCUCAUGGGACUCCACCUGAAACUGAAUACUCCCAGGUUUUAUUUCUGAUCUAUACUCUUUGGAUUCAGUGGCUUUGGAAUUGUUCAAGAUUUCUGACUCAUUGAAAGUUACAUCCCUACUGAUAAUGCAUUUUGGUGGCUUCAGAUCAAUGCACCAUAGCCUAUAGCCUUUAACUCCAUCAGGGUAUCCCAAAAAUCUACACUUUAAGGCUCUUGGCUCCAAUUUGCCUUGUUUGACAUGUGCAUAAGCAACACAGCCAAAGAUUCUUAGUUUAGAGUAAUCAGCAACCCUUCCAGACCAUAGCUCGAUAGGUGUUUUGCAUUCUAUUGCUGUAGAUGGGCUUCUGUUUACCAAGUAGCAUGUUGUGUUUAAGGCCUCUGCCCAGAGUGACUUAGGCAGCUUUGAGUAUAGCAGCAUACACCUCACGUUGUCCAUUAAGGUUCUAUUCAUCCUCUCAGCAAGACCAUUUUGCUGAGGUGUGUGUAUGACUGUUUUGUGCCUCAUAAUCCCAUGUCUUUCACAGAAGUCCCCAAACUCUUUAUUGCAGAAUUCCAUUCCAUUAUCUAUUCUUAGAGCUUUUACUUUCAAACUUGUUUGUGUUUCUACCAGAAUUUUCCAUCUCUUGAACCUUUCCAAAACUUCAUCUUUGGUUUUGAGUACAUACACCCAAACCAUCCUUGAAUAGUCAUCUAUUAGGGAUAAGAAAUACCUACAGCCACCAAGGGAAUCUACCUGUGCAGGUCCCCACAGAUCAGAGUGUAUAUAUGCAAGCCUCUCUUUGGUAGAAUGAACUGCAGAUUCAAACUUGAGCCUGGAAGCCUUCCCUAGAAUACAGUCUUCACAGAACCCCAAAGAACUUAGCUUGUCACUUCCAAACACCCCCUUCUUUUGAAGCUCCUUCAGUCCUCUCUCCCUCAUGUGCCCCAACCUCAAGUGCCAUAGUUUUGCUUUAUCUUCACUCUUCUCAGUGACACUUGCCUCUCCAACAGUUGUAUGUCCAUUAAGCACAUACAAACCAUUUUGCUUGGUACCUUUCAUUAUGACUAUUGAGCCUCUGAUAACUUUUAAUGUCCCAUUUUCAGCCUUAAUGACACAUCCAGUUUGAUCAAGCAUGCCAAUAGAUAUUAGGUUCCUUUUGAGUUCAGGAACAUGCCUAACCUGAGUCAGUUCUCUAACCAUGCCAUCAUACAUCUUAAGGCUUACAGUCCCAAUCCCAACUACUUUACAAACUGAAUUAUUUCCCAUCAGCACCAUACCCCCAUCACAGGACUGAUAUGUAGUAAAGUAAUUUCUAUUUGGACUCAUAUGAAAAGUACAUCCAGAGUCUAGUACCCACUGACCUUGAGUUUUUUCUUUUGUGGCAAUGAGGACUUCAGCUGUCUCAAAACUGGUUUCUUCUGUGGCUAUUGCUGCAUUUCCAGAUUUUUCUUUUGAUUCCUUUUGUUUUGUUUUUCUCUCAGGGCAAUCCCUCUUGAAAUGCCCUUCUUUGUGGCAGUGAAAACACUUCAAGUGUUUUUGCUUUGACUUUGAUCUUCCUUGCUUCUUUCCUUUGUAUUCUCUUUUUUCAGAUCUUCCCCUUGCCAUCAGCCCUUCACUUGAUUCACUCUCUGAGUUAUCUUGUUUGUCUUUUAACUUCUUGGUACCAAGAGCAGAUUUAACCUCUUCCAAGGAGAGUGAUUGCCUUCCAUAUAACAAGGCAUCCACAAAAUGUUCAUACGAUUUUGGUAAAGAACUGAUUAACAGCAAAGCCUUGCUCUCAUCACUCAGUCCUUCAUCAAUUGUUUCCAGUUCAUCACAAACUUUAUUAAACUCAUCUAUGUGUUCAUCAAGUGAUGCUCCUUCAAUCAUCCUCAGUGAGAACAUCUUUUUCUUGAUGUAUAGCCUGUUUGCUAAAGACUUUGUCAUAUACAAUUGUUCCAGUUUUGCCCAGAGCCCAGCAACAGUCUUUUCUUUUGCAACUUCCCUUAUCACUGAGUCACCAAGACUGAGGAUGAUAGUGCUUCUUGCCUUUUUGUCAAUCUCAGCCAUCUGUUCUGGAGUUCUUGAAGAAGAAGCUUCUGCAUUUUCACUCUUGAUGACUGGAUCAAUGGCAUCUCCCAGACCUUGUGUGAUUAACAAUGCUUCCAUCUUGAUCCUCCACAUAUUGAAGUCAUUCUGACCCGUGAACUUCUCAAGAUCCACCUUGUUUGUCAUUUCUUGAACCUUGAUACAGAAAAGAGGGCUCUGAUACCAAUUUGUUGUGAAUUUGGCUUUGUUACGACUAACCAAAUUCUCCCCAAGACACUAAUUUUGUAUCAAAUGGUUUGAGAAUUAACAGCACAGAUUAUCCAGUAACAAAUCACAUGCAAGAACCAAAGCAUUAAAGAAACAAAGUGACACCAAGUAUAAGUGGUUCAGCACCAAGAUGUGGUGCCUACAUCCACUGGAAACAAAGCAACAGUCUUUCACUAUUUAGUUCACAAAACAAUACAAGAAUAAGAAUUGAUUACAGAGAACAAGAACUUGUAAACCCCUUUCUCUCUCUAUCUUCUCUCUACUCUCUGUGUUUCCCAAUUCAUGUGUAGACGAUGACAGAGCCUGCACUUUUAACCUCUGUUUCUGGGUUGUUACAUUAACUACCCUUCCCGCCAAAACUAACCAAGAAGCUCCUCUCUCACGUGCUUGUCACAAGUUGGCAUAAGUGAGCUUGAAACGGCAAUCACAGAUGUCGUUCUUGAGCUAACGAGAUUCCAGCUUCACCACACGUGCAAACCACGUGUAUUACUUAAAGGUUGAAUGACCAAAGAGAGGAUGUCGGUUUUACUCUGAAGAACUCCUCAAGCGACAAGUCGGCUGAGACUAACUCCUCUAAACGACUUGUAGCACUUGAGUUUCGAGUUCACUGUUUAUCAGAUCCUCCAUUAGCUCAGUAUUUGAUAAGCUCAGUUGGAUCAGACUUGGGGGAAAUUGGUAUUCAGACAGGACCAUCCGUGACGGCUUGCUCUCAUUCACCAGCUUCAAGCAUUCAAGUUUGUGGAGUUCGCAAAGGCUUUUGGAAACCCCAGAUUGAUAGUAACUCAAAUCUCCAGAUAUCCGAAGAGUCCGAACACUAGGUAGUCUGAACAAUAUAUCAGGAGUACAACUACUAGGGUUUAAAGCAGAUGUGAAAAUGAGAUUUUUCAGAGAGCUAGAAUAAUUUUUUGGAGGUGCGGGCAAAGUGAUAGAACCAAAGUUUAGAUGCAUGAGUUUUUGCAUCAUCCAAAUAUCCUCUGGUGACUGAUCUAUGUGGCUAGAUGGCAUUUCUAGUGUUUCAAGGUUUAAAAGGGUGCAUAGCAGUGAAGGAAGGCAUUUGAGCGAAGGGAUAUUCAAUUUCAAAUACUUCAAAAGAUAUAAAUUUUCUAAUCCGGGUGGAAAUUGGUCGAGAACUGCAGAACCGAAGUUCAAUACCCGAAGGUGUUUGAACCUUUUAAAAAAAUUCUCGCAAUCUUUCGGAUUAAGAUGAUUGCUUUUUGAACUGUGAUUCAGAAAAGAUUGGAGAUACAUGUAAGAAUAUUCUAAAG